UGUUAAAAUUUUCUUCAAUUUGUACUGUUAAAAACUUGUGUGGCUGAUGGAAUAACCAAAUAGUAACACGUGGCAUGCCACGUGUACAUCAUACUGACAUACAUGGAUCGUUUUUAAUAGUAGACAUGAAUGACAAUUUCAACA
rfam:Gossypium raimondii Chr07_contig_1335, whole genome shotgun sequence.